rnacentral:pre_miRNA from 1 species
UUAACUCAAAUUUGUAUGGAUUUAGAAUGUCUGCAACGUUUGCCGCUAGAGGCGCUGCUCCAACUGCAUACACAUUUGAGUUA